CCGGACCCAGCAUGUAGGUGCCGGGCGACUGCCAUGAACUCUGGAGCCGUGAGGAUCCACAGUAAAGGACAUUUCCAGGGUGGAAUCCAAGUCAAAAAUGAAAAAAACAGACCAUCUUUGAAAUCUCUGAAAACUGAUAACAGGCCAGAAAAAUCCAAAUAUAAGCCACUUUGGGGAAAAGUAUUUUACCUUGACUUACCUUCUGUCACCAUAUCUGAAAAACUGCAAAAGGACAUUAAGGAUCUGGGAGGGCGAGUUGAAGAAUUUCUCAGCAAAGAUAUCAGUUAUCUUAUUUCAAAUAAAAAGGAAGCUAAAUUUGCACAAACCUUGGGUCGAAUUUCUCCUGUACCAAGUCCAGAAUCUGCAAAUACUGCAGAAACCACUUCACCUCAUCCCAGCCAUGAUGGAAGUUCAUUUAAGUCACCAGACACAGUGUGUUUAAGCAGAGGAAAAUUAUUAGUUGAAAAAGCUAUCAAGGACCAUGAUUUUAUUCCUUCAUAUAGUAUAUUAUCAAAUGCCUUGUCAUGGGGAGUAAAAAUUCUUCAUAUUGAUGACAUUAGAUACUACAUUGAACAAAAGAAAAAAGUUGCAUUCACUCAAGAAAUCAAGUACUUCAGUAAGAGAUGGGGGCAAAAGAGUUGGUAGUGGUGCACAAAAAACAAGAACAGGAAGACUCAAAAAGCCUUUUGUAAAGGUGGAAGAUAUGAGCCAACUUUAUAGGCCAUUUUAUCUUCAGCUGACCAAUAUGCCUUUUAUAAAUUAUUCUAUUCAGAAGCCCUGCAGUCCAUUUGAUGUAGACAAGCCAUCUAGUAUGCAAAAGCAAACUCAGGUUAAACUAAGAAUCCAAACAGAUGGCGAUAAGUAUGGUGGAAACUCAAUUCAACUCCAGUUGAAAGAGAAGAAGAAAAAAGGAUAUUGUGAAUGUUGCUUGCAGAAAUAUGAAGAUCUAGAAACUAAUAAAAUACAGUGUUGGAUCCCUUUCUCCUGUUUCUGCAAGUGUCCUGAAAAAGACUGAACGAAAGGAAAAAGUGGAAUUGCAACAUAUUUCUCAG
rnacentral:lncRNA from 1 species